UGCUGUGAAUUUGGACACAUUCUCUAUGUUUUCAGAGGAAGGAUUUUUGUUUUAAAAUUUCUUUUACCUUUGUAUAUAUAGGUCUAUUCUCAGACAUAUCCUACUGGGCAUUACAAUUAUUCGAACAUAACACCAAGGGGUUCGACACUCAAAAAAGGACUAGAAAAUGAAAAAAUUUGAUGCGCGGGAAUCAGUUCUACAAAUAAAAGAGAAGAAAAAGAUGCUUGAAACGCCCCAAUAUGAUAUAGUCCAAAUGAGAAAAAAAGGGGAAGUGGCGACUAAAAAUUUAUUUUUCGUCACUUUGAGAAGUAAGAGUUGAAUGUAGACUACUUUGUCGUGCGGUUCUGAACACCUGUAUCUGCGAUCUAGUGCCAAGAGUGACGAAAAUGGGGGAAAACUGUGUUUUUUCUAUUCUGCAUACAGAAUUUGACAUAAAUGUUACCCCAAAAAUCAAGUGCAUAUUAUUAAAGCUCGGUUAUAGUUCUUUUCGUACUUUGGCUCGAAUAAAUCCCGAUUGUGCUGAA